CUCGGUUGCCUGGUGACGAGGUUGAUCAACCGUGGAAGCCAACAGACCCUGCUGCCCGUUCCUCAUGCUGCACACGUCAGCACGCGUGUCUGAUCGCCCUCGGUCUGGCCGUCUGGGUAGAGGGAGAAACCCGGGGCGACGCUGGCAGAUUUAUCUGAGGAAAACGGACAACCUGCAGGAAGAGGCGGACGAAACAGGCUGGAAAACACAAAAAAUGUUCCAUGGCACAACAUGAUAAAAAUGUGAAUUUUACUUACCUCUUGCUAUCCUUUUACUCUGAUGCUUCAGCAGAAACAGGGAGUCUAGUCUGAGUUAACAAGACAACACACACACACUCAGAUUUAUAAUGAAAUAAUUAGGGUCAAUUCAGAUUCAUGGCCUAGUCAAAGUGCACAUCCAUCAUCCAGUCUGACUGAUCUCAAUUUGUGGGAAACUGUGAAAUCAUUUGACUGUCUUCCAGUUCACAAUUAUGCGCCGCCGUGUCAUUUGUACACAAGCGUUCGUAUGAGCUGUUUUCUACCAGACCAGCAAAUUAUUCUGAGCCACAAGAGUCACAUUUCUCCUCAACCGCCAGACGCCGCUCACCGCCCUCCACCUGCGCGCCGCACCUACCGUUCAGCUGGAAACUCUUCCCAUAUGGCGACCAGUAGGAAAAAGAAACAAGUGAAGGAGAGUUGGAAGCAAACAGAUGUGGCUUUUUCUGACAAAGUAGGACAAUAGGAGUUGUCAGGCAGAACUCGCAGCAGAUGAAAACCAUCAACAGGACCUCACUGGCGAACAAAACCGCGUGCUAACACGACAAACCGAGCCAGCACAUGCCGUUUACAGUGCGGUAUUUUUUGGGUGUUUCCCCGCUCGUCCCCCUGUGUGAAGGACUGGGAGGGACGGAAACAAUAAAGAUACUGUUAAAACGCA